AGCGCAGGUGGUUGUAUAAGUCUGAAGUAAAAGGCAGUGGCUCAACCAUUGUGUGCUUUGGAAACUGUACAACUUGAGUGCAGAAGGGGAGAGUGGAAUUCCAUGUGUAGCGGUGAAAUGCGUAGAUAUAUGGAGGAACACCGGUGGCGAAGGCGGCUCUCUGGUCUGUAACUGACACUGAGGCUGAAAGCGUGGGGAGCAAACA
rnacentral:rRNA from 1 species